UACAGAGGUCCCAAGCGUUGUUCGGAUUCACUGGGCGUAAAGGGUGCGUAGGCGGUCGGGUAAGUCUGAUGUGAAAUCUCACAGCUUAACUGUGAAACUGCAUUGGAUACUAUUCGGCUAGAGAGUUGGAGGGGGGACUGGAAUUCUUGGUGUAGCAGUGAAAUGCGUAGAUACCAAAGAGGAACACCGGUGGCGAAGGCGGAUCUCUGGGCCUGUUCUGACGCUGAGGCGCGAAAGCUAGGGGAGCGAACAGG
rnacentral:rRNA from 1 species